rnacentral:rRNA from 1 species
CCUACGGGAGGCAGCAGUAGGGAAUCUUCCACAAUGGGCGAAAGCCUGAUGGAGCAACGCCGCGUGGGUGAAGAAGGUCUUCGGAGCGGAAAACCCUGGUGGUAGAGAAGAAAGUGCGUGAGAGUAACUGUUCACGUCUCGACGGUAUCUAACCAGCAAGCCACGGCUAACUACGGGCCAGCAGCCGCGGUAAUACGUAGGUGGCAAGCGUUAGCCGGCAUGAUUGGGCGUAAAGGGAACGCAGGCGGUCUUUUAAGUCUGAUGUGAAAGCCUUCGGCUUAACCGGAGUAGUGCCUUUGAAUCUGGGAGACUUGAGUGCAGCAGAGGAGAGUGGAACUCCAUGUGUAGCCGU